rnacentral:rRNA from 1 species
GUUAUCGUUUAUUUGAUAGUACCUUACUACUUGGAUAACCGUGGUAAUUCUAGAGCUAAUACAUGCUGAAAACCCCAACUUCGGGAGGGGUGUAUUUAUUAGAUAAAAAACCAACGCCCUUCGGGGCUUCUUGGUGAUUCAUGAUAACUUCACGGAUCGCAUGGCCUUGCGCCGGCGACGGUUCAUUCAAAUUUCUGCCCUAUCAACUUUCGAUGGUAAGGUAUUGGCUUACCAUGGUUUCAACGGGUAACGGGGAAUUAGGGUUCGAUUCCGGAGAGGGAGCCUGAGAAACGGCUACCACAUCCAAGGAAGGCAGCAGGCGCGCAAAUUACCCAAUCCCGACACGGGGAGGUAGUGACAAUAAAUACUGAUACAGGGCUCUUUUGGGUCUUGUAAUUGGAAUGAGUACAAUUUAAACCUCUUAACGAGGAACAAUUGGAGGGCAAGUCUGGUGCCAGCAGCCGCGGUAAUUCCAGCUCCAAUAGCGUAUAUUAAAGUUGUUGCAGUUAAAAAGCUCGUAGUUGAACCUUGG